rnacentral:rRNA from 1 species
AGUGAAUAGAUACCCGGGUAGUCCUAGCCGUAAACGAUACUCGCUAGGUGUCGGCCACGGUGCGACCGUUGUCGGUGCCGUAGGGAAAGCCGUGAAGCGAGCCACCUGGGAAGUACGGCCGCAAGGCUGAAACUUAAAGGAAUUGGCGGGGGAGCACCACAACGGGUGGAGCUUGCGGUUUAAUUGGAUUCAACGCCGGAAAUCUUACCGGGACCGACAGCAAUAUGAAGGCCAGGCUGAAGACUUUGCCGGAUUAGCUGAGAGGUGGUGCAUGGCCGUCGUCAGUUCGUACUGUGAAAGCAUCCUGUUAAGUCAGGCAACGAGCGAGACCCACGCCCACAGUUGCCAGCGUACUCUCCGGAGUGACGGGUACACUGUGGGGACCGCCGCUGCUAAAG